rnacentral:rRNA from 1 species
CGUUCGGUGGGGAGUUUGGCUGGGGCGGCACAUCCGUUAAAAGGCAACGCGGGGUCCAAAGGGGAGCUCGGCGAGAAGGGAAAUCUCGCGUCGAACGAAAGGGUAAAAGCUCCCUUGAUUCCGAUCUUCAGUACUGAUACGAACCUCGAAAGAGUGGCCUAGCGAUCCUUUGGUCGUUCGCGACCUGAAGCCAGAGGUGUCAGAAAAGUUACCAAAGGGGAUAACUGGCUUGUGGCGGCCGAGCGUUCUUAGCGACGUCGCUUUUUGAUCCUUCGAUGUCGGCUCUUCCUAUCAUUGUGAAGCAGAAUUCACCAAGUGUUGGAUUGUUCACCCUUCGAAAGGGAACGUGAGCUGGGUUUAGACCGUCGUGAGACAGGUUAGUUUUACCCUCCCGAUGAAAGGGAGGCGGCCGUAGCAGUAAUUGGACUCAGUAC